CCUAUCCUCGUUGCCAGGUUAUGGAAAUCCAGAGCACAGCUUGAGAAAGGAAAGCCAAGGACAGAACAGAGCCCUGGGGAGGAGCUCGUGGUGGCCAAGCCGAAGGAGGCAGGGAAUUCCGGUGGCCCAGAGCCCUGGCGGAGGCUGCCACUGCGUUGAGCCCGUCACUUUGUUGAGUUUCGCGGUGUCGCUGUGCUUGGAAAGACAAUUUCCUUUUCAGCAGCACUGGUAUGGACUUUGGAUGAUCUUGCCUGCUUCUUCGUUUCUCUCUUUCUCAUGAAAGCCUUUCUCUUCUCGGUCAUACAAAAAGGCAUACGGAAAGAAGCCCAGCGAGAAGAGUUUUCCUGCUGAUGAAGACAGAAAAGGCACUGCAGCAGAUCCUGCUGGGACAGGUCCCAGGGAGAGAGCACGAGCGUUGAAACCUGCACCAGCAGCCCAGGCGAGGCGGCUCCUUGUGCUAGGGCGCCCUCUAGAGCCGGAGAGCGGAAGCGGCGCGGGCGGCGGGCGGCAGGCGGCGCCUCUGCACCCAAGAAGCGCUUACCCCCAAAACAUAUGCUGGGCCCCAGGUGCCUGCCCUGGGUAACCAGCACGAAUGAACAGAGACACCCCAGGCUGUGUAAAUCCUUGGUGAUCCUCUAGAUUCAUCCGUUGAGUUUUAAAACCGAGAAACUUGAUAUCCAGAGAAGAAAGACCCUUUUGAGGCCAGGAUUCCAUGGGAGGAAGACCCUCUCCCCAGCCCGUUAAUACCCACCCUCCCCAGCCAACAGGACCCUUGGGGAAGAAAACCCUCUCCCCCACCCCUCAUACCUCCCCCCAGAUCCCCCAUCCCCUCAGGGGAAGGAAGACCCUCUCCCCCACCCCCUCGCGAGCCCCCUCCCACCCCAGACGACAGGAUCCUUGGGGAGGAAGACCCUCUCCUCCCGCAAAUCCCUCCUCAGCCAACAGGACCCUGGAGGAGGAAGAGCCCCUCCUCCACAUCCCACAACACCCCCCUCAGCCAACAGGACGCUGGGGAAGGAAGACCCUCUUUCCCACCCUUCACGACCACCCCCCACUCCCCAGCCCCAGCCAACAGGACAGAUGAGGUGCAGGCAGGCUCAUGGGUUCGGUGGAGGGAGUUUGGGAUCACCCCAAAGCUUUUUCCAUUUUCGGGGUCAGCAGCCUGGCUCGUGGCCAGAACCAGCCAGUUCUGUGAGAACACUGGAGGCAUGAGCAGCCCCUGCUGAGCAAGUGGGCAGCAGCCUGGCCAGGGAGGCGUGGGUGUCACAAGUGAAGGGCCCAGUGGGGCCGGGGGCUGUGACCACAUGUGGAGGGCCAGGGCCUGGGUGUGGGGCCUGGGCCGGGGGCUUCCUUUCUUGGGGCUGAGGUUUGCUCAUCUGUGAGUCAGGCUGAGGCACCCAUGCCUUGGGGUGGCCUUGAGGUUAGGGGGUCUGUUUGUGUGAAACGCUCAGGGCUGGGCCUGCCCUCAGCACACUCAACAGGUGACAGAGACCAUGACCAUGAUGUCGGACCCGUCAGCCGCCCUUACAGGUGAGCACAUCGCACACCCAGGGGGAGCUGGUGAUGACAUCACCUGGUCCUCACCUGAAGCAGCUGAACCUCUGAGACCCUGGGCAGCACUGUUCACGCUUCCCUUAUUUUCCGUACCUCACUGCUGCCUGAAGCCCCAAAUAUACAGCUUGGGUAAACCAUUUCCCCUGAAUUGUGUUCACGGAUUAAAAGAUGCUAAUGGGAGAUCCAGAAAUUUCUAAGAAAUAUAAAAAACCAAUAUGUCAAUAUUGGAAACCAUAUUGGCCCCUGACACAGCUCAACGCCACACACUUGUUCCUCUGCCCCCCCAAUAUACAAACAUGUACAUACACACACAAGCAGACACGUAAGUACACACAAACAUUUGGGAGCAUGCACAAAGACAUGCAGAUACACACACAUAUACAGACACACAUGAGCACACACAAAAACACAGGCACACAUGAGCACACACAGAGACACACAUUACACAUGUGCACACACAGACACACAAGAGCAUGCACAAA